GAGUGGAAAUUUUAGCAGAGUUUUGGGAUAGAGCUUAGAGCUUAGAGAAGAACGUAUCUAGGGGUCUCUUUUUAUAGACAGAGAGCGUAACUGAUUGACAGUGAUGUCUGUAACCACCUGGUAGUGGGCUGUUCAGAGCCGCAUGGAGUUUAUUAUGUAGAGUAGUGGCAUCAGGGGUCGUUCAGGGCCACGUGGAGUUUGUUACAAAAAGUGGAGUGGUGUCUGUUGUCGUGACUCGCCAG
rnacentral:lncRNA from 1 species